CACAAGCGGUGGAUGAUGUGGUUUAAUUCGAUGCAACGCGAAACUUACCACCUUUGACAUGUACGGAACCCUUAGAGAUAGAGGGGUGCUCGAAAGAGAGCCGUAACACAGGUGCUGCAUGGCUGUCGUCAGCUCGUGUCGUGAGAUGUUGGGUUAAGUCCCGCAACGAGCGCAACCCUUGUCAUUAGUUGCCAUCAUUUGGUUGGGCACUCUAAUGAGACUGCCGGUGACAAACCGGAGGAAGGUGGGGAUGACGUCAAGUCCUCAUGGCCCUUAUGGGUAGGGCUUCACACGUCAUACAAUGGUCGGUACAGAGGGUUGCCAACCCGCGAGGGGGAGCUAAUCCCACAAAGCCGAUCGUAGUCCGGAUCGCAGUCUGCAACUCGACUGCGUGAAGUCGGAAUCGCUAGUAAUCGUGGAUCAGCAUGUCACGGUGAAUACGUUCCCGGGUCUU
rnacentral:rRNA from 1 species